UGAGGAAUAUUGGACAAUGGGGGAAACCCUGAUCCAGCAACGCCGCGUGGGGGAUGAAGGUCUUUGGAUUGUAAACUCCUUUUCUUGGGGAAGAGCAAGGACGGUACCCGAGGAAUAAGUCACGGCUAACUACGUGCCAGCAGCCGCGGUAAUACGUAGGUGGCGAGCGUUAUCCGGAAUUACUGGGCGUAAAGCGCACGCAGGCGGUUCGGCAAGUCUGACGUGAAAGCUCCUGGCUUAACUGGGGAGAGGUCGUUGGAAACUGCUGGGCGUUGAGGCAAUGAGAGGGUGUAGAAUUCCCGGUGUAGUGGUGGAAUGCGUAGAGUAUCGGAGGAAUACCAGUGGCGAAAGACGGCGACCCUGGCAUUGGCCUGACGCUCAUGUGCGAAAGCGUGGGAGGCAACGGGAUUAGAGACCCAGUAG
rnacentral:rRNA from 1 species